CGCAAAGUGAAAUUCACAAAAUUGGGACGUUUUGACACGUUAAAGGAAACAUGUUGAAGAAAAAACAAAGAGUCAGGAGCACCAGAGUUUGAUGGGCCGUCCCAGACGCCAGUUGACAUUUUGUCCCCAGUCCGACCGGAUGCCGCAUAAAAAAUUCACUCAGGCGAGAAGCCAGGAGGAAUACCCAGCUCCCUCCUCACCCAGUGUGUGCCUCUCAGUGGGGAGUGCAAGGUGACCGGUCAGGUGACGGGCGAGCUGCUCCAUGAACCGGGACGAGGGGGCCUACACCCUCUAAUACCUGGGAUUCCAUCCUCCAGAGAGCACCUGGCGGCGGGGGGCGUGGCCUAUCUGACAGAUUCUGACAGAUCUGUCAGACCGGUCACCUGAUAAAAAAAGGACACGUCAGCACACGUCGGAUGACGCUCUGAAGAAGACUGCAGUUGCAGUUGAAACAUGUCAGCUAAGGAGAUCCCUGUUAAUGCUGUAAACAACGAGCAGUAAAUGAUGUGACAAAGUACUGUUGUGGCUGGUAGACGUUUACUGCACCAGGGCGCAUACGUUUCAUGAAAUAGUUUGUGUAUCUUGUGUUGGAGAGUGGGAGGGUGCUGAGAGGAGAAGAUGGAGAUCUAAAGAGAAAGCAAUGGAUGCAACUGUGGAGGACAAAUGUGGAGAGAAAAAAAGCCUUGAGAGGGCUUGAGCAGAAGAAGAGGAGGAGAUGAGGAGGACUAGGUGAGGAAGAGGACAAGAAGUGCUCUCCCUCUCAGCCAGCCGGAUGGGGAGAAAAAGAGUGACGAGGGAGAACGCAAGAGGAGGAGGCGAAGGCGUAGCAAAAGAGCUGGAGAGACUGUGAGUGUGUGUGUGAGGGCUAAGUGAGGCCUUUAUAAAUGAAAGCAGAUGCCUGGCAUUAUGAACUUGUCGGGUCGCAGAUGGGGAUGGCGGUGAUGGAGCACUUGACUCCCCGGAUGGUUAUCACUCACUCUCCUCCUCCUCUUGCCUCUCAACUGCCUUCCCCAUUUCUCUGAGGGUGAGAGGGAGAAACAGGGAGAAACGGGACUAGAUGUAAAGAAAAAGAGAUGGUGAGAGUAUCCAUACACUGCAAGACAUAAGAGAACAAGUAGGUGGACUUUUCAGUUAGUGAUUAGUAGCCCUAUUUAAAUAAAGACCAUGAAUACACUAUGAAGAAAAAAGCUUCAAGUCUUUUUCUUCCUUCUUCUUUUUCCUCAUUUGAUUGAUCUUGGUGUCGGUGUGCGGUGAUUGAUUGGAUUGCCUGCGGAACAUCAUCCCGCUAACUAGUCGCUCCGAGAAGAGUGUUUGUCACUGCCAUUGAUCUUCUUGUAAAUGAAAUGUUCCAUUUCCAGUGCAUUUUAUUGUUAAAUGCAGUUCAUUAGCUACUCUGAGAUUUAUGGAUGUGUCUCCUCUCUUGGGCGUGAAAAGGAAGAGAGAAGGACUUGAAAGAAACAGGAGUAGAAGGGGAGCAGGGUAGAGAUGAGCACUGGUGGUAUAGAGCUGCUGCGGACUUGAUAGAUAUGUCCCAAGUUUGCCAGGAGAUGAGAGAUAAUGAUGGUGAAGAGGAACUGAGCUUCCUGAUAUAGUGUAGUUACACUUCUUUUCCUUACUCUGGGAACUUCUACUCUAGCCUCAUAAAUACUCUUAACCCUAACAUAUUCAGUUCAACAAUUUAAGAAAUUUUGGGAAUAUUCUGCAUGUUUUCUAAUAUUGGUCUUGUUUGACUGGAAUACGUGAAAGUAAAGUGUUGUUGCUGGUUUUCUGCCAGCCACAACAGCUGUUUAGGAGUACGUACAUUAGAGAUGCAAUAACUUGUCGACUAGUUGUCAACUAUUAAUCAAAUCAUUGGUUUGUGUAUUUUUAUUUUAGAAAAAAAUUGAAAGUUCUCUGAUUUUACACUCCUCUUUUACAGUAAAUGAAAUAUCUUUGGGUUGUGGACAAAACAAGAUUUUUUUCUUCAAUGAACCACUAAUCAGCUGAGAAAAUAUUUGACAGAUUAAUCAACUGUAAAAUAAAUGUUCGUUGCAACACAGUAAUAAUUAGAUCUAUAUAUUCGAUAUAUACACACACACACACACACACACACAUUCUCUUUUAUUUCACUUUUUAACUUCUGGAACCACCACAACAACCACUAAAAAAAUCAUUAUAUUUGGUGAAGUGAAAUCAUUAGACUUUCUAAAGUGAAAAGCAUAAUCUUGAAGAAUAAGAAUCAGUGGGGUUCUAUCAGUGGCAUUGUUCAUACAGGUAAUGCUUAAUGGUACUUUCAUCUUAACCAUGCUCAUUGUACCAUUUUCUCCCCGUUUCUUUAUUAAAAAUCACAAAGGGACUGUGGUAUUUUGUAAAAUGUUGUAAAUGUUGUUCAGCGGACAGAAAAGAGAAUUAUAUUAGUUUAUCAUUGAUAUUUAUUUGAUUAAAAACUUUUACAGCAAAAGUUAAGCAUUGGCUGAAAGAAAAACAAGAAUGUACCUAGCUAUGACAUCUAAAAGGUCCGACUGACUGUGGAUUGUGUCAUUGUGCAUGUUUGUGUGUGGGUGGAGGUUAAAGGAUUUUUAAUGUUGUCUGUGCUGUUUUUAUUUGUGUUGUUGAUCUUUUGACUACUUUUACUUAAAAGCCCAACCAGGGAUGGGAGUUGCAAAUUAGCUCA